rnacentral:lncRNA from 1 species
AUGUUUUUUUUAUAUAAAAAUUUCAUUUUUGAGGUUUUUGGGGGGCUUGUUUAUGACAAUACAUGUAAAAUCUAGGGUUGGGCAUUUGCACGAAAAACGGGGCACACUGACUGAACAGAAACGACCACGCCAACUUAUCUUCUUUUUCCUUCUUCUCCUCUUCUCCACCGCCGCUGCUCAUCUCUCUCUCUCUCUCUCUCUCUCUCUUCCCCCAGAUCUGCUCGGGCUAAUCAUCUAGUUGAAUCUUGUCGUUUGGUCCAUUCUGCUCUUUUUUCUCUUUAUCUCCGCCACUAG